UUUGCCACUGUUAUGAAUCAAAAUGUAAAUAUCUGUUUUCUGACGGUCUUAGGCAACACCUGAAGGGCUGUUCAACCCCAGCUUGAGAACCACUGCUCUGGAUCAAUAUGGAAAUGUGAGCAGUAUCUGCCAUGAAAUAAUCAGGCUGCUAAACUGAGUAGAAACUUAGGAUGUGUGCCAAGGACUUCGUCUGCUAAGGUAGUCUCGACAAGUGGUGGCCCAUACAGGGACCCUUUCCAGUCGACUCAGAACUUUCUGCAGUCAGGGCAGUGCGCUGGGAUGCUGGUUACUUUGGUUCCAUCAGAGGAGGCAGCUCCGAUCAAAAGAAAACUCCUGAUGGUUUGGUGGUAUGCAUCGUGAUAGAAGUUGAAACCCUGCAGAAUGUUAGAUCUGGCAGAAGUGCUUCCAGCUAUGCUCCCUCCCCCAACUCGUGAGAGUCUGCAGGUCACAAAACUCCCAUGAAGCAGUGCAUUGUACCACCAAGGAAGCCGAAGGGCUGCCCAGUGUCACAGAAUGAAUUGUGACUGCAUCUUUUGUGGUGGCACUGUGGACCAUUGAGAGUAAUAUGAAGAUUACCUUCUGAGCAUUUACGCAAGAUAAUUUAAUUUUAGAGCUCAUAAACAAGUCAGAGUUAUGUGGUUUGACAAAAGGUCUCCUCAUGUGUGCAGACCCUUGCCAAAAGCAUGAUGAAAUCCCGAGGCACCGAAGCCUUGUGUGCACUUCAGAUUUACACAUGGCCAGCAGAAUCCGCUAGUGUAUGAGUUCAUAAAUAUUGCUGCUGCUAUUAGGAGGCACUUGGGAAACACAGACAGUUCUGUGAGAGACAGAAGGACCCUCUUCCCAUUGCGGACUCCACAUCCCUAACAAGGACACUCAUAAAAGCCCUGCAGGCCACUUUUCUUUCUGAAAAUGUAUGUUUUAUAGAGAACAUAGUCAUCUCCCUCCAGCAUCUUGUCUAUUUACUCGAACCUUUCUUUGUCCAUUAAUUGUGUCUGAUAGCAUCCUGCUUGUGGGGCCACAUUUUACAGCUUCUAGAGGUGUGGUUGUGUGCAAAAACAGUGAGGUCAGUCCUAAUCAGAAGCCAAAAAUUAAAUUUGGCCUAUUUGCCAAGCUUUUCCACAGAAGCUUAAAAUGAAAAACAACUGUUUCUCUCAAUGUAGUUUGAAAACAUCAGGUAAAAUCAUAGUGAAUAUAUGAACUGGAGGAAAAUUAGUAAAAGAAAAAGUCUCAAUUUAAAGUUACUAAAGACAUGAGCACAACCAUUCAGCAAGGCACGGAUAGUUGGGGUUUGUAGAGCUGGUGCUGCAGACUGUUGGGACUGUCCGCUGACCAGUUUCACUCAGCAAGAACUUAGAACAGCCUUUUUGCAGAACAUGUGAGACUCUUCUGCUUACUGGUCGGUACUGCUUGUAAAUGCCAAUAAAGAU